rnacentral:rRNA from 1 species
AACACAUGCAAGUCGAGCGGUCACCACUUUGUAGCAAUACAGAUGAAGUGAUAGCGGCAGACGGGUGAGUAACACGUAGGCAAUCUACCUUUCCGUUCGGGAUAACUAGCCGAAAAGGUUAGCUAAUACCUGAUACGAUCACCGGGUGGCAUCACUUGGUGAUGAAAGCAGCAAUGCGCGGAUUGAGGAGCCUGCGGCCCAUUAGCUAGUUGGUGAGGGUAACGGCCCACCAAGGCGACGAUGGGUAGCUGGUCUGAAAGGACGACCAGCCACACUGGGACUGAGACACGGCCCAGACUCCUACGGGAGGCAGCAGUGAGGAAUUUUCCGCAAUGGGCGAAAGCCUGACGGAGCGACGCCGCGUGCACGAGGAAGGUCUUCGGAUCGUAAAGUGCUGUCGAGGGGGACGAUUAUGACGGUACCCCUG